rnacentral:misc_RNA from 1 species
GAUGAAGAACGCAGCGAAAUGCGAUAAGUAAUGUGAAUUGCAGAAUUCAGUGAAUCAUCGAAUCUUUGAACGCACAUUGCGCCCGCCAGUAUUCUGGCGGGCAUGCCUGUUCGAGCGUCAUUUCAACCCUCAAGCCCCCGGGCUUGGUGUUGGGGAUCGGCGAGCCUCCGCGCCCGCCGUCCCCUAAAUCUAGUGGCGGUCUCGCUGUAGCUUCCUCUGCGUAGUAGCACACCUCGCACUGGGAAACAGCGCGGCCACGCCGUUAAACCCCCAACUUCUGAACGUUUGACCUCGGAUCAGGUAGGAAUACCCGCUGAACUUAAGCAUAUCAAUAGCGGAGGA